UACGUAGGGUGCGAGCGUUGCCCGGAUUUAUUGGGCGUAAAGGGCGCGUAGGCGGCUCGGCACGUCCGUUGUGAAAUCGCCCGGCUCAACUGGGCGGGGUCGGCGGAUACGGCCGAGCUGGAGCAAGCUAGGGGGUAAUGGGAAUUCCCGGUGUAGUGGUGGAAUGCGUAGAUAUCGGGAGGAACACCAGUGGCGAAGGCGGUUACCUGGAGCUUUGCUGACGCUGA
rnacentral:rRNA from 1 species